GAUGUAUGGUCGCCUCAAAUUUUUCUCUACAAACAAUGAUGUAUUUAUUGAUUUUUUUCAUGUGAAAAAUAUUUAUAAAUAAUGUACAAAAUGGUAUACAAGAUUAAAUACAAAGUUUUGUGACUCAAAUGUAGUGACAAAUUUAUAGAGAAUGAUUUUCUUAUGAAUGGCUGAUGACAACCAAGGUUCACCAUGGCACUUUGAAAUUUUACUGCAACAUCACUGAUAAUUAAUGAAUAUUAAUUACUACAAACUAAUUUUAAAAUGAAAGAGACGCAUAUAUAAUCUCAGAGAAACGUCUCAGCUUUCAAUAAAGACAAAUCGUCGCACAAUAUUUAUUUUUUAUCGAGUAAUCAGUGGAAAUUUUUUUGUUUUCACAAGUCAAAAUUUGAUUAUAAUCCAGCAUAAACAAUAAUUAUAAUAAUAAUCAUAAUAAUUUUAUAAGAGAACCCUUACAUAAUAUUAAGAUAUGAUAAUAUUAUUUCUCUGGGGAAUAAUAAUUGCGACUCUUUAAUCUAUCAAAAAAAAAUUUGUUAUUGAACAUCAAUUAGUGAAUAAUUCUAUUGAUACGUUUGAUAUUAUUGCUGUUAUUAAUCAUCAUUAUUCUUCAAUCAAAAAUCAAAAAAUGCUUACGUGUCGCAUGUCAUUGAUUGGAUUAUCUAUUUAUCUAUUUUGUAUCAUACAAUUGCAAUGUAUUGUUGCAGUUAGGUGUCCUGUUGGACCCAACGAACGCCCAAUCAUAGGAAUUUUAGCACAAGAAGCAAGUCAUCGAAUGAAAAGUUUAUACAAUGGGACAUAUAAGACUUAUAUCGCUGCAUCAUAUGUAAAGUUUUUAGAAAGUGGGGGAGCUCAAGUUGUACCUAUUUGGCAGGGAAAAGAUGUUUCUUACUACGAGAAUAUUCUGAGGCAGAUCAAUGGAGUUGUUUUGCCUGGUGGUUCUGCGUAUUUCAAUACAACCAAUGGAUAUGCUGAUUCUGCUCGCAUAAUAUAUCGUAUUGCUACUGAUAUUAAUUUAUCUGGAACUUAUUUUCCGCUGUGGGGAGCCUGUUUAGGUUUUGAAGUAAUGACAUAUAUAGCUGCUGGUGAUCAGUAUAUUUGCAAACGAUGUUAUGGCAUGAACAAUGUUGCUUCACCAUUGGAAUUUAAAUCAGAUUAUCGUACACGCCGAUUAUUUAAACAUGCACCAUCAGAAAUUAUUGAAAUUUUAAACAAUGAAAAUGUGACUGCAAAUUUUCAUCACUAUUGUGUCACAGAAGAGGACUUUGCAAAGGUCGGCCUAUCUAAUACCUAUCGAGUAGUCACCAUAAACCGUGAUAGUCGAGACACGGCAUUUAUAUCAACUAUGGAGCAUGAUCAAUAUCCAUUUUAUGGAGUGCAAUAUCACCCUGAGAAGAAUAGUUUCGAGUGGGCCGAUCGAUUAACUGGUAUACCGCAUUCAAGCAAUGCUAUUAAAGUCAGCCAAUAUUUUGCUAACUUUAUCGUUGACGAGGCUCGGAAAAACUUUAAUUCAUUUCGGACGAAGGAUGAAGAAAAAGAAAGUUUGAUUUAUAAUUACGAAGUGACAUACACUUCAUCACCUAAAUCAUCAUUUACUCAGUGUUAUUUAUUUGAAUGGUGAAUACUAAUUCCAAGAGUUAUAAAGUCAAAUACUUAACAAUGGGUCGUAGAAUUUCGUUAUGAAAUUUAUUGCAACUAUUUAAUUAUUAUGGACUUGCUCUUUGAGAGAUAAGAGUAUACAUGGAAUUUAUUUUAUCAUUUUGAAGGUUUAAAACUAAAUAAAUUGCUGGAUAAGUGAAACUUGAGAAUAAAGUAAAUAGUUGUAAAGGGCAGCUUUGUCCAGAUGCAAAAAUAAGUCAAGUGAAGAAAAACAUUUAAAAUGAGCAGUGUCGUCUAUCUUUGAAGGACAAAGUUGGAAGGGGGCUUUGCGGAAGGGGAUGCAGUGGAUGAAAACCGAUCAGCUCAGCUCUGUUGUAAAGUGGCAAGAACUAGGGCAGGUUGCUCGUGGCCACAUCAAUGACGCCAGUGACGUCACACACCAGGUAUCGGAUGAAGAACUGGGCCAGAGGAUGGAGAAGGGGAAAACAUAAGGAUAGAGGAUGGUUAGGGCACAGAAGAUUGUGUCGACUGAAUGAUGACUAUAGGAAUGGCUUCCCAGGGUUUUUCUUCCUCGAGGUGAAGGUCUUUUACGUGUACAAUAUAAAGAGGGUUUAUUUAUCCUAUAAUGUUUUUCCAUUCAAAAAAACAAUACCACUGAAUGUGUGAUAAAUCUCUAGAAAAUUUUGGAUCUAAAAAUAGCCUUGAUGGUUUCGGUUACUGGUCUUUUUAUUACUUUAGUAAUGUCUUUUCUAUUUCUUUCAUUUCCUUUGUAUAAAAUACAAUGAUUAUCGAUCAUUAUUAACGACAUUGCAUAAAACAUCUAAUGUUUGGGAAAAAACUCCUUUCUUAAUUUUUCCCAUAAUGUUCUAGACCUUUUUCAAUCAAUUUAAGUUUGUAUUCUUGUAGUGGCUGUUAAAAUCUUGAGCUUGAUAGGAUGUAUUAUUUUUUAUAAAGCACGAAUGUAGUUCAUUUAAAGUAAGAAAUUAAAAAUAGUUAAUUCUUGUAAAAAGGUCAAAAAGCUAGAUAAUAAAGUUCAACUUGUAUAUUUAAAUCGAAAAAAGUUAAAAUACUGUAUUGCAGGAUAUCAAUGAAUAUAUGAUACACAGAAUUUCUUGGUUGUCGAAAUUCAGGUUACGCGGUAGGGUCGUGAAUGGAAUCGAUGACGUCAUGGAGUGCAAGCUCCGCGAAAUAGGUCACUCCUUGGCCUCGCCAUGGCCACUGCGAAAUAUCCUCAUACUGUGUGAUCAGUCACGUUUAUUGUUUUCAUGACUUUCCGUGUAUGUAUGAUGUUUAUUAUUUUUAA
rnacentral:misc_RNA from 1 species